UGAUACUUACUAUGAGGCCAUGCUGAUGAAGAACAUAGCAAUCUUACUUGCUCUUCUUAGAAGCCUCGUAUAGGUAGCUCACGAUAACUACAGCUGCAGCAACAGCUACCCCGACAGCACUCUGUGCGAGUACAGCACCAGUUGAAAGAUCAGAUUUCGUAGAUGCAGGGCCGCUGCUCCGUGGAGUGAAGCCAAGUUCAGAAAGCUUCUUGUGCGAUUCAGCGUAGUCCUUGAA
rnacentral:misc_RNA from 1 species